rnacentral:rRNA from 1 species
UUCCAUUUCUCUGACCUCCUUGUCAAAGCCUGAUCCUGUCAGAUCUCAGAAGCUAAGCAGGGCCGGGUCUCAUUAGUACUUGGAUGGGAGACCACUGAGAAUACCAGGUGUCACAGUGGAGU